CUCCUCUUUACUGCGCAGAGCUGAGUGGCUGCGGCGAGGCGAGUGGACGGUGGCGCGGGGCUCCGAGAUCCCGGGCUCGCGCCUAGGGCUGCGAAGAGUCAUUCUGAGAAUGCAGGGAUGAGGACAUGUAGGUUUCCAGUUGGGAGAACCUUGAAUGGCACAG
rnacentral:lncRNA from 1 species